GACGAACGCUGGCGGCGUGCCUAAUACAUGCAAGUAGAACGCUGAAGGAGGAGCUUGCUUCUCUGGAUGAGUUGCGAACGGGUGAGUAACGCGUAGGUAACCUGCCUGGUAGCGGGGGAUAACUAUUGAAAACGAUAGCUAAUACCGCAUAAGAGUAGAUGUUGCAUGACAUUUGCUUAAAAGGUGCAAUUGCAUCACUACCAGAUGGACCUGCGUUGUAUUAGCUAGUUGGUGGGGUAACGGCUCACCAAGGCGACGAUACAUAGCCGACCUGAGAGGGUGAUCGGCCACACUGGGACUGAGACACGGCCCAGACUCCUACGGGAGGCAGCAGUAGGGAAUCUUCGGCAAUGGACGGAAGUCUGACCGAGCAACGCCGCGUGAGUGAAGAAGGUUUUCGGAUCGUAAAGCUCUGUUGUAAGAGAAGAACGAGUGUGAGAGUGGAAAGUUCACACUGUGACGGUAUCUUACCAGAAAGGGACGGCUAACUACGUG
rnacentral:rRNA from 1 species